rnacentral:tRNA from 2 species
GGGCUCGUAGUGAAGCGGCCUAUCACGCCUCCCUGUCACGGAGGAGAUCACCGGUCCGAAUCCGGCCGAGCCCGCCC